rnacentral:rRNA from 1 species
UUCCAGACUCCUACGGGAGGCAGCAGUGGGGAAUAUUGCACAAUGGGGGAAACCCUGAUGCAGCGACGCCGCGUGGGUGAAGAAGUAUUUCGGUAUGUAAAGCCCUAUCAGCAGGGAAGAAAGAAGACGGUACCUGACUAAGAAGCCCCGGCUAACUACGUGCCAGCAGCCGCGGUAAUACGUAGGGGGCGAGCGUUAUCCGGAUUCACUGGGUGUAAAGGGGGCGUAGACGGCCGUGCAAGCCAGGAGUGAAAGCCCGGGGCCCAACCCCGGGACUGCUCUUGGAACUGUGCGGCUGGAGUGCGGGAGGGGCAGGCGGAAUUCCUGGUGUAGCGGUGAAAUGCGUAGAUAUUAGGAGGAACACCAGUGGCGAAGGCGGCUUACUGGACUGUAACUGACGUUGAGGCUCGAAAGCGUGGGGAGCAAACAGGAUUAGAUACCCCCGUA